UGGAGCUGUCAUUCUUCAGCGGUGUAUACAGUCCGAGUAUCGGGCUCACCCUCGCCAUGGGUGAGACGCCAAGCAGCUGGUGGGACUGUCAGGAGUCUUCAUAGGACUUGGAGAGGUUCUAGGAGGAGCAUUGUUCGGUAUCCUGGGCAGUAAGACGACUCGUUGGGGUCGUGACCCCAUCGUCAUAAUGGGCUACCUCAUCCACAUGACGAGCUUCUUCCUCAUCUUCAUCAAUCUGCCGAACCUGGCGCCGUUCGGAGACACCACCGACACCUCCUACAUCACUCCCUCGCCGUACCUGGCGAUGCUCUGCAGUUUCCUCCUAGGAUUCGGCGACGCCUGUUACAAACACUCAGAUAUACUCCAUCCUGGGCGGGAAGUACGCUGAUAACAGUACCUCCGCCUUCGCUCUCUUCAAAUUCACACAGUCCCUGGCCGCUGCCGCGUGCUUCUUCUAUUCAUCCCGAGCGCCGCUGUCAGUUCAACUCGGAGUCCUGGCGGUGUUGGGUACAGCUGGUACAGCAGCCUUCUGCCGCGUGGAGUGGGCAGCACGCUCCGUGGCACGCGCGGCCGCUCGAGCCGCCCUCGCGCCAUUGGCGCCCGGAGAGAAGCCCGCAUCCAGGGACGUCGAGGAUGCGCUACACUAUGACUAAGUAGUGGGGGGGUGUGACGUCAUCGCUUUAAGUCACCAAACGAAAUGUUUAGAUCAACCUAGUAGUAUAAUGGCACAUGAUGACGUCACAAACUUCAGUCUUUUCGACCCCACUUGCCUUGGGUUAAGUAGUUUCUAGUAAGGAUCUAUCGUGACAAAUCCGAUACCUUGAAAGCACAGUUUAUUUUAUAUUUAAGCUCAACACUCUGUUAAUUUUCCAUUCCAGAGCAUUCCAUAUAGACAUGUUCAAUGAAUAAAUCCUUCGCUUUUAAACUUGAUGUCUGAGAUGGCAUUUAGCAUAUACAUAAUGCCAGUAAGUUGAUAUUGUAUUGCAUAUAAAAAUAUCCUAUAACUUGAAUCAAUUGUAUGUGAGUGACGGUUUCUUUGUUAUUCAUCAUUAAAAUAACAUAAUGCUGACGUCACAGAAGGUUUUAAUUGUUUACUACAAAGAUAAAUACACUAAUUCCAACAUAUCAUUCCAUAUAACUAUGAACAAAAUUAUGUAAAUUAGUAAGAAAUAUAUAUAUUUUUAUAAUAAUGUAAAGAAAAUUGUAAGAAUGUGAUGGGAUGAGGUUCGAAUUUACUAGUAUUAUUGAAGCGAGGAGUCCUUAACUGUAAAAAAUUAAUUUUACAUAACAACUAGGGGCCGUUCAUAAAAUACGUUCGCAUAUAAGGGGGGGGGGUCUG